rnacentral:pre_miRNA from 1 species
CGGGGGGUGGGGGGGGGUCUUUCAGCCCAGAUUGCAAAAGGGCGCAGGCCAGGCCAAGGGACCCCACCGGUGCAUG